rnacentral:rRNA from 1 species
GACGAACGCUGGCGGCGUGCUUAACACAUGCAAGUCGAACGGACCUUCGGGUUAGUGGCGAACGGGUGAGUAACACGUGGGUGAUCUGCCCUGCACUUUGGGAUAAGCCUGGGAAACUGGGUCUAAUACCGGAUAGGACCACGCAUUUUAUGGUGUGUGGUGGAAAGCUUUUGCGGUGUGGGAUGGGCCCGCGGCCUAUCAGCUUGUUGGUGGGGUAAUGGCCUACCAAGGCGACGACGGGUAGCCGGCCUGAGAGGGUGACCGGCCACACUGGGACGGAGAUACGGCCCAGACUCCUACGGGAGGCAGCAGGGGGGAAUAUUGCACAAUGGGCGCAAGCCUGAUGCAGCGACGCCGCGUGAGGGAUGACGGCCUUCGGGUUGUAAACCUCUUUCGCCAGGGACGAAGCGCAAGUGACGGUACCUGGAGAAGAAGGACCGGCCAACUACGUGCCAGCAGCCGCGGUAACAC